rnacentral:rRNA from 1 species
ACUGAAUCCAUAGGUUAAUGAGGCGAACCGGGGGAACUGAAACAUCUAAGUACCCCGAGGAAAAGAAAUCAACCGAGAUUCCCCCAGUAGCGGCGAGCGAACGGGGAGCAGCCCAGAGCCUGAAUCAGUGUGUGUGUUAGUGGAAGCGUCUGGAAAGGCGCGCGAUACAGGGUGACAGCCCCGUACACAAAAAUGCACAUACUGUGAGCUCGAUGAGUAGGGCGGGACACGUGGUAUCCUGUCUGAAUAUGGGGGGACCAUCCUCCAAGGCUAAAUACUCCUGACUGACCGAUAGUGAACCAGUACCGUGAGGGAAAGGCGAAAAGAACCCCGGCGAGGGGAGUGAAAAAGAACCUGAAACCGUGUACGUACAAGCAGUGGGAGCACGCUUCGGCGUGUGACUGCGUACCUUUUGUAUAAUGGGUCAGCGACUUAUAUUCUGUAGCAAGGUUAACCGAAUAGGGGAGCCGAAGGGAAACCGAGUCUUAACUGGGCGUUAAGUUGCAGGGUAUAGACCCGAAACCCGGUGAUCUAGCCAUGGGCAGGUUGAAGGUUGGGUAACACUAACUGGAGGACCGAACCGACUAAUGUUGAAAAAUUAGCGGAUGACUUGUGGCUGGGGGUGAAAGGCCAAUCAAACCGGGAGAUAGCUGGUUCUCCCCGAAAGCUAUUUAGGUAGCGCCUCGUGAAUUCAUCUCCGGGGGUAGAGCACUGUUUCGGCAAGGGGGUCAUCCCGACUUACCAACCCGAUGCAAACUGCGAAUACCGGAGAAUGUUAUCACGGGAGACACACGGCGGGUGCUAACGUCCGUCGUGAAGAGGGAAACAACCCAGACCGCCAGCUAAGGUCCCAAAGUCAUGGUUAAGUGGGAAACGAUGUGGGAAGGCCCAGACAGCCAGGAUGUUGGCUUAGAAGCAGCCAUCAUUUAAAGAAAGCGUAAUAGCUCACUGGUCGAGUCGGCCUGCGCGGAAGAUGUAACGGGGCUAAACCAUG